AGCGGGGGCACCGUGAGACACCGGGGGGCACCCGGGGCUCCCGCACGGCCCCGGCCCCCCGGGAUGCCCCUCCCGGGCUGGGGGAGGAAGGGGCGCAGCUCACCGCACCGGGGAGCGCUGCUGCUUUUUGGGGGGAGCCACUAAAGAUCAUAGAAUCUGCUCGGCUGGAGAAGCCCUCGGAGAACAUCGAGCCCGGCCACCCCCGGCGCCGCCAGAGCCACCCCACGUCCCCAGAGCGGAACUUUGGGAAAUGUUUGGAAUUCUGUCCUGUUGCUUAAGAAGCUGAGCUCACCCUGUCCACGAGACCGACUGCUCUCUCGGGUGGCACCAGCGCUCCUGCCCCCCAAACUGGGAUCUGCCAGGGAGCUUCCAUGUGAUGGGAUUUAACGUCUUUAAAACUGAGUCAGGACAACUGAAAGCCUGCAACGGGGAACUCCAGUGGCAGAGAGCAUCCUGGCAUGGGCUGUGACAUGCCAGAGAGCCCGAGCAGCUGGAAUCUGCUGCUCCCCUGCGGCAGGGCACGGCGGGACGCGAGCCGGGUGCUCAAACCCCCCUGCGGUGGAACCCGCGGUUCGCGGGCAGGAGGUGACAAAACCCUCCCUGGGAGGAUUCCCACAAUCCAGGAGGGAAAUCCCAGCCUCCCCAGCCUCCCCAGCCUCCCCAGCCUCCCCAGCCUCCC